GCGGUAUGCAACAACUUUUGCCAGCCUUCCAAGCUGGCUAUGUGGGUUCGAUUCCCAUCACCCGCUCCA
rnacentral:tRNA from 1 species